AUUAGAUUAGAUCGAUGGAGUGAACAAUUACUGAAAUGAACAGAAAUGAUCGAGCGAGCUCAACGUACGUAGCUCAGUUCCCAUGCAGAAACCCUCUGUCUGAUCUAUAUCUAUACCCUCUGCGUCGGCUGCUGGAUCGAUCGAUCGACUGCACGGGAGACGCCAAACAGAAAAACCAGAGCGCAGGGGAAACAACACGAGCUGAGAGGAGCAGGGAUCAGCGAACAAGGCGAUGCGAGCAUGGAUUGUAUAUUAAUUCCAAAGUGGAGGGCAGCAGCGCCACAUGCUCCCGCAGCCGGCGAGGCAAUCUGUCGAACAUGUCGAGUGCCUGCCGCUUCUUCUCCCAUUUGGACAAGCAGAGCAAACAGACGUAGCUGAUCGACUGGCUACCUCUCAUGCACAUGCACGUGGUCGUCAACACACAGUAAAACAGGGUU